AUGGGGCAGAUUGAGCCCAGUGUGAAAGCCCACUAGGGCAGCCCUUCGACUUUAGAUGGGCUUUCUGAGCUCCUGCUGUUUGCAAGUAAUUAAUUCACUGCUCAGAUCACAGUGAGUAUACUCUGGUAACCAGGAGCUUGUUGUCCAAAGGAGAAGAUUCAAGGGCUGACAGCGUGUUAAGAAGUUGGGGCAAGGGGCCAACACCAUGCCCCAAAGGUCCAGAGGCUGUUUAUCAAGGAUCACUGUGAGCUGCUGGCUUCAGGGAAAGACAACACUGACCUGAGUGUCUCUUCUGCUUCUUAAAUGUGUACUCUUCACCUUUAACCUAGAGCAACCUGUGCCUACCUGCUCAGCUCUGAGCCAUGCUUUCCACGUUCUCAAUUUCAACAGACCUCAUUAGCAUCUGACCACUGAGGGCAUCAUUAAGCAGAGGCUGUCAGGAAUGUCACCUGAACGUUAGCAGCUGAGGAACACGGCUUUACAUCCUCCCAUGGCCAGUGAGGACCUUGGUCACAGGAAGCCUGACAGGCACAAAGAAGUGAAUUCUGCCAACAAGUGAGGUUGAAAGAGAGAACUCUGUCUCUGAGAAGGUUGAUACCUGGAUUUCAAUCUGUAAGACCCUGAACAAAGUAAUCCAGCCACAAUCUACUACUCUUUGGACUUAUAGAAACUGUGAGGUGACUCUAGCCUGCCAGGCUCCUCAGUCCAUGGGAUUUACCAG